UUCCUAGUGACUCAGAUGGGAGAGAAUCUGUCUGCAAUGCAGGAGACCCAGGUUCGAUCCUUGGGCUGGGGAA
rnacentral:tRNA from 1 species